rnacentral:lncRNA from 1 species
CUGCUGGAUGUUUUGUCUAUUUUUGUUGUGAUUUUAGAUUCCUGAGUUGGCACUUGGUGGCGAGUGAGUGUAUUUGUACAUGAUUGCUCGGCAGAAGUGAGUAUCGUUUGUUUACCUAGGGGAAUCUGUAUCAAGCAGGGCUCAGCAAUGUCCACACUGUACUGGAUUGUUUCUCGUCUUUCAUGGGAGUGGUUCUGCAGUUGACUUAGUAGAUUUGAUGCCAGAUAAUUUAGUGGAAAAAUCUUAGUCGCACUAGUUUUUUGGUUGCUUACGAGUUCUAUUGUUAUACUGUUGUUCUGUGGAAUGGACUAUUGUGCAAUUGGCUUUAUGGAAGACACGUCACACAAUUAUCAGGGGCACUAUGCAUUUUUUAUAUACCUGUUAGGAGAGGCUGCAGUUUCCUUGUUUUAGUCUGAUCCCAGCUUCUGUCAAUCAAUGCAGGUAGUGAAUAUGUCAGAUAGUACGUUGCAAGAUCUCAACCUAGCUCAAUCAGCAGAGCUGGAGAAAAGCAAAGACAGUGUUGCGAAACCGUGCAACACUAAGCCUGUGUUGAACGGCAACAAACGUGUCGACAAGGAAGAAAAUGCUCCGCUUGCAUGUCCUGAUGCUGUGACUAAUGGAUGUGAGGCUGCAGUUGUAGAUGUUGAGUAUAUUGAUUCUGAGCAUCUGAUAGAUCUCCCAGAUGUUGACACAAGCUUUAGUGUAUGCAACUAGUUAUUCCAUUUGUGAUUUUUUGUUGGAUACUUAUAAAUUUUCUUCAGAACUAAGAUUUCCAUUACCUAUUGGCUGGCAGACGUUGCUUGCAAGGUUGGAUUCAAAGGACUGGAUCAAGACAUGUGAGGCCCUUAAUAAUGUUCGUCAGUUAGCAAUAUAUCACAAGGAAAGGUUGCAGGAGCUGCUGUAAGUUGUUUCUAUUGUUUCCUGGAAAAACCGUUUGAUAAUGACAUCACUCAUCGAUCCACGUUGCUAUGAAAUUGUACUACAUCUCUUCUGUUAAUUGUUUGAUAUAAACCAUUUGAAUUACAGGGAGCCUCUAGUUCCUCUUAUUGUGAAAUCUGUGAAGAAUCCAAGGAGUGCUCUAUGUAAAACUGCGCUUAUGACCUGUGCUGACAUCUUUAAGGCAUAUGGUGAACUAAUGGUCGACUCAAUUGAUCUACUGGUGUGUUUCCCAUUUUAAAAUAGUCUAUUCACAAUUUCACUUGUUUGGUUUUCACACUAAUUAUGAAGUCACUUAAUUCAUGUUCUCUGUCAAAUGUGUACACAGCUAAUGCCGUUGUUUCUAAAAUCUUCUCAAGACAAGCGCUUUGUUUGUGAAGCUGCUGAGGCAGCCCUUAUAUCAAUGACAAGCUGGAUCUCGCCUUCUAUAUUGCUACCGAAGAUGCAGCCUUACCUCAAGAACAGGAAUCCACGAAUUCGAGCAAAAGCAUCAGUUUGUUUCAGUAAGAGCGUACCACGACUUGUAAGUGAAACUCUCCCUGAAGAUUUACUUAAGAUCCCAGCUUUCUUUGCCCCAAUGAUUAUAUCAGAUUAUCUCCAAAGGAACCCAAAGAGAGGCUUCAGGAUUAAGUAUAUAUUCAUGUUGUGAUUUUGUCUAAUGCCCCAAAAUCUCAACUUGAUACAGUUAUAUAGAUGGAUAAUUUGAUCUCCUUGUGCUAUUCUUAUCUGUCCAUGAUCCUAGUUAGAGUUUAUAUGGAGGUUCUUCCAGAGAUUUUCUGUUUAUUUAGAUAUGCAGUUGCUUGGAUUGAAAAUUCCGUGUGAUAAUAUGGAGCCCCGAGGCCAGACCUUAUCCACACAAAGAUUUAGUGCAUGUGGUGGAACAUUGAUUUGGUGAGGAUAUUAAAAUGGCCAGUGUAUGUUUGUUCAAAGUGCUUCAUAUCCUUUCAGUAAUUUUCAGCAGGGUGACAUUAGCUGCUCAUAAUAAAUUAUUAUUUGGUGCGGAUCUGUAUGCACUGACUCCUCUUGGUUGCUGUUCUAAAUAUGAGAAAUACAACACUUCAGUUGUUUCAUAAUAGUAACUUCUUUUUCUGACAGGGUGUGGAAGGAAUCAAAGAAUAUGGAAUGGAUAAGCUCAUCCAGGUUGCUGCAACCCAGCUCAGUGACCAGCUUCCAGAAUCGAGGGAGGCUGCACGCAAACUGUCAUUGGAGCUACAAGCAUUCUACGAGAAGUCUCAGGCCUCAAGUUCAGGCGAAGAUGAGAGCGUGCCGGCUGCCUCACCAGAAGCUGAAACCUGGGAGGCUUUCUGCCAAUCCAAGCUUUCCGCACUAAGCGCCCAAGCAAUCCUCCGCGUCACCUCUACAACAAAAGAAACCUCAACGACGAAAGACGGUGUAACCGUGAGUGUCCCUUUUGCCCUGAAAGAAGGCGGUGGCCCUGUUACCCCCAAAGAAGGUGAUGUCCUUGUUGCUCCGAAAGAGGGUGCCGCGGCAGUGGGUUGCUAGCAUCGGGAGGUGGCUGCUGUGAUUUUUCGCACAUCCAAUUCACGUAUUUUUGCUGUACAUGGUUUACGGUUGCUCCGUCAUCGAAUUUGCUGGGUUGUCUGCACUGGAGUUUCUUCAGGUUUUAUGCCUCCGGUGUUAAUAUUGGUCCGAGAUAUAGUCCCCUUGUUAUAGUCGAGCUUACAAUCCUUGGGUUCCACUGCUUGUGCUUGGCAAUGGUUGGUUCUCCGGUAAUUCAGUCAGGCGUAUGUAGAAUUUCAUCCACCGUUCCAUAUUUGCUGACAGUGUUAUUACACAGUGCACGUUUGUGUUCUUUUGCUUUUGCUCUGUAUACUUAGGUUCCAUUUGUGUGUCUACCCUACCAGUACGUGGUUUCUGCUGUAGAAUGUACACGAUGGUAACCAAAAUGCCAGGAGCCAGUCCCUGUACGUGAAAAAGAUGCACAUGCAUCGCAAGUGCUGGCCGCAGAGCAAGCUGCGCCGAUGAUAGCGUUUGGUUCAUGAGAACAUUGAAUCGCAGUGCAGAGACGCAUACUACAUUGUGAUUUCGUGAUUUCUUUUGAAAAUCAAAUGUACAUGUUCGUUUCUAGUACGGAACCUACACUUGCACGCAAAUUUCACUGGCAGACAGCGAACGCAGGGCAGGCUCCUCAGAGGGUGGGGCCUGCCCUGGGCGUGACCUCCUCAGCUCUCUCACAAUCUCACAUGGAUGUGGAACGGAAUGGAAUCCCUUAAUUAUUGGCUGAUUAUUAUGGGGAUCCAAUGAGAACUUUGCGUCUAGCAUGACCACCAUUUUGCAAAACAACGUUAAGCCUGCACUUUGGUUGCAUUCUGACGUCAUUUUUUAAAAAAAAGUUUGCACUUACUCCACAUGAAAUACCCAGAUCCCGAGGCACAUCGAUGCAAUUUUGCGUUGACCAAGUCCAACUGACCAAAACACAUAACAGGAGCAGCACAAUCUUCCAAAAACAAAAACACGGUGCCAAAUGUCAACAAAAGAAAAUAUCUUCCAAUAAAAAAAGGUAGCAGCAGAGCGGAGUAUAACCUAUGCCAGGCUCGCCGCACAGCCCAUAUUUCCAUCCAGCCAUCCAAGAUGACAGUAGCAGAAUGCAAGUGAGGACGAGGAACCGGAUCAAUCAGCCUCAACCAAUCCCCCACAAGCAGCGGGAGCGAACUGCCGCCACUGCCUCCCCUUCCUCCUCGUCGGCGCAGGUAAACCCCUCGCGAAUCCCGAUCCCUCCUCCUCACGCGCGCAGCAGCAUUAUUCGCGCCCUCCGGAUCUGCACCCCGCUCCCCCGUGCGAACGGCGUGAUCUACGCUGCCUUCCCCUCUUUGUUUUUUCGGUGCAGUGAUUUCUUAGGGGUUGGGAUAGAUCUCACCGAAUUUGGUUAGCGUAGAUGGAAUGGUGAACACAGGGUUAGUGCCUCUGCGGUUCUACCAGUGGCCGCGGCUGGGGUCAGCGGGCGGAGUCGGAGAUCUAUUUAGUUCGUUCAAAGUGAGUUCGAUGCGAUCUGGAGAUUGUUUCAGCGUGGUAGAUGCGCAUGAUCUCAAGGUCAUGGUGCAUUAGCGAAGGACAAAAAAAAAUUGAGGUGGGCCAAUUUCUAUCCUAACACUAUGUGUUAAUAUAGAUAUCACAUUUAAUAUUUUUAUAGGAUUACAAAAUAAAUUUGGUUUUUCAGACUUUUUAGGAUGUUUUUUUUGUUGGUACAUUUAAUGAUAUAUUGUACAGUGAUAUUUAUGUUAAAUAUUAUUUUUUAUCAUAUUAUAUGUCAAAUCAAUCAUAAUCGAAAGAUCAUAAUACAAAUAUUUAUAACAUAGAAUAUAUGACAAUUAUUAUGAUUUGCAAACAGUUCUUCGGUGGAGUGAGCAAGGAUCGACAACUCAAAUCUAUAUAAGCGUAAAGUUAUUUUUAUAUUUUUCUUGCAAAGAUAUCUUCAUACUUACCGCCUUAAAAAUAUCAAGUAGAUAUUUGGCAUAAUCACAAUACCUUGAGAGAUAUGCCAUCUUAUGAGAAAGAACUACACAAUCUGAAACAUAUUUGUGAGUCUGUGAAAAUCAGAACUCAUAAAACAAUAAUACACCACGUGGACAUGGUUAUCAUAUCUACUGCCAUUAAGUAAGAUGAUUAUCUAUCAACUUUCAUUAAUUAAGAAAUACGAGUAAAGAUACGUCGGUUAAUACAUCAAUGAAUAAUCAUACAUGGACAUCAACAGUAAAUAACCAAAAUAAGUAAGAGUGCAGAAGUUGCGUCUUCCGGAGAACCAAUCUUUGCAGGCUAUAUCGUCGUCGAUUGCGCAAAGUCACGUUGGAACGCCACACACACACCACCUCACACGGGGCGUUGCCGUUGAAAACUGGCUGCCGAUGUAGGCGACAAUUGACCCGUCAUCACUGCCUCCUACGACGUCUUUCUCAGAUCCCGUCCAAAUGCAUAGCUUGGCAAGUCAUCGUCAUCGCUGCCUCUAAUGAUACAGAGUUAAAUUAGUUGAAAUUUUAUAGAUUUAUUUUAUAUAGAGACGCAAAUACAAAUUCUAAAAGACCAAACAAAUUUACAUCUAACAAUGAUUUAAUAAUUUGUAUUAAAAUUAAUCCGAAUAGAAAAUAACUUGAUGCAAGGGUUACGGUAUGUAACACGAGUUUGUCUUUCUUUCCUCCAUAUUUUUUUUUCAUCCAUGUAUUCUUGAACAUUAUGAGUAAGUUUGUCUUUUUUUCCUCCAUGUAUAAACAACCUGUUAUUCAGGUUUAUUACUCCUUGUUAGUUGGCCCAGGCGCCCAGCUAACCACGUUACCCCCUCUCCCCAUCCCAUCUACUUCUUCUUGCCGAGCGACUCGGCGACCCAGCCCCCUCGCUCCGUGCAUCUUCUUCCUCCUCGCGCGAGCGCCGCCACCCAUCCCGCUGCCGAACGCCCGAGUCCCCUAGCUCGUCUUCCUCCUCGCUCGAGCGCCUCCACCGCAGGUUGAUCUCCACUUCGAUUCUCUCGCUCCCGACCGUUUCUGCUCCCAUCACCCCACGAACGGAUUCCGCCCUUUAGAUCCCCGUUUCAUAAUCUUCCCCAAUUCGUAACUGAGGCAAAAAUCAAGGUAGGGCGGCCGCCCUACCUUGCCCUACUGGGUCCUCCGCCCGUGUCAUGGUGUGAAUCAGUCGCGGUAGUGAGUGGCUUUGGAAGUAGGUUCAUGACACGCGCUCGGUGAUGCUUCGGUUGUUUGAGUUUGACUGUACCAAGUCACUGAUCUAGUUCAUUGUGAAUUCUAGCGUGGCAGUAGUACUGCUGCUGGAUGUUUUGGCUAUUUUUGUUGUGAUUUUAGGUUCCUAAGUUGGCACUUGGUGGCGAGUGAGUGUAUUUGUACAUGAUUGCUCGGCAGAAGUGAGUAUCGUUUGUUUACCUAGGGGAAUCUAGAUCAAGCAGGGCUCAGCAAUGUCCACACUGUACUGGAUUGUUUCUCGUCUUUCAUGGGAGUGGUUCUGCAGUUGACUUAGUAGAUUUGAUGCCAGAUAAUUUAGUGGAAAAAUCUUAGUCGCACUAGUUUUUUGGUUGCUUACGAGUUCUAUUGUUAUACUGUUGUUCUGUGGAAUGGACUAUUGCGCAAUUGGCUUUAUGGAAGACACGUCACACAAUUAUCAGGGGCACUAUGCAUUUUUUAUAUACCUGUUAGGAGAGGCUGCAGUUUCCUUGUUUUAGUCUGAUCCCAGCUUCUGUCAAUCAAUGCAGGUAGUGAAUAUGUCAGAUAGUACGUUGCAAGAUCUCAACCUAGCUCAAUCAGCAGAGCUGGAGAAAAGCAAAGACAGUGUUGCGAAACCGUGCAACACUAAGCCUGUGUUGAACGGCAACAAACGUGUCGACAAGGAAGAAAAUGCUCCGCUUGCAUGUCCUG